UUCCAGUGCCCCCCAAAGGGUGAUAUUAUCCACUUUGGGAACCUAUGAAAGAUGAUGACUGGACCCAUGAAUUUAGAGAGAGAAGAUUGUUGGGCAUAUAGGCUUCUGAGCUAACUUCUGAGCUUAUUCUCUAAGGGAAGAUUCCAAGGAAAAUGAAUGUGAUGUGUCCUGUGAUUGGGAAGCCUGGGGCAAGAAACAAAGCCCACCACACUGGGAC